GCGGUAAACCCGUGAGAUCAGACACUGUACACCGUGACGUCACCCAGAGUCUCGCGCUGCGUGCGGAGCUGCGAGCACAUGGGAAACAAGGUCGAGUCACAGUGACUGCUCAUGGUGACCAAUAACACAAAGAAUCAGCGUGCACCUCGAGUGGAACACGAGUGGAAGAAAUCCCGAGCAGUAGAUGCUUCACAUGCAACUCCUGAGCUCUCAGUGUUCCAGACUUUUGGUUUGCAUCUCGUCACCUAGAGCUGCUCGCUUAUGCUGAGGAUGGACCCACAUAGACAGCAUGGAUAUACCUGGGACUACUGUGGAUAGUACCAUUUGGAGAUCAUGGCAGUGGCUUUGAACUGUUGCCAUGGUAGGUGCUGGUGGUUUUGCGCUUGGAUCCCCAUCAUUGAACAUUCGAGGACUUCAGCAAGAAGUUUAUGCUAAAUCUAUAAUGAAUUCACAAAAUGAUGCUCAUACUUAUAAGUUUCCCAAAAGCUUCUGGUUAAACAAUUCCACUUGACUAUAUACAACUGUAGUAAGCACAUUUAUAAUCACACUCUCUAGUGUCACCCAGGUGAGGAUGGGUUUCCCUUUGAGUCUGGUUCCUCUCAAAAUUUUUUUCUGAAUUUUUAAAUUCAUGUAAUGCUGUUUUAAGACAAUGUCCAUUGUUAAAAGUACCUAACAAAUAAAAUUUCAUCAUCAUCAUUAUCAUUACCAUUGCACAUACUCUGUGUGUGUGUGUGUGUGUGUGUGUGUGCGCAUGUUUUAUGUCCUCUUUUGUAUGCCUUGUUUUUAUCGCUUUUGUCGGUUUCUAUCAGACAACAAGCAGGAAUAUAGCAGUCUUCAGUUAAUGCUGAAUCACUGAGGGAACAACACAUCCGUUAUAUCAGCUUUUUCUGUGGUGGUUUCUUCUAUAACUGAUGUUAGCUGAAGUACCAGAUAAUAAAAGAGCGCACAAAAACACACAUUCACUGCUGGAACAGUGGAUAAUUACUCCAGUGAAUCGGUUUAAUUUAGCGUUUAGUUUAACAGCGUUGUGUUUCUUCCUCUGGAGAUGCAGGAGAACAGUACAGAGCUAUGGUUCUGAAUGGUGCAAAAAUCAUAUUGAAUACUUACUGAAUGUUUUUAUGACAUCUCAGUUUGUAAAGAGUAACACAUGAAGGACCAUGCUGUUGUUCUGAAUUAAUAAAGGCCUUUGUGGUGCGAUACCCCAGGGUUUUACCACUCUAAAGUAUAUUUUUUUACUAGUCUGUUUAUUUCACCAUGAUUGGCUAACAAUUGCAAUGGAACCUUGGAAUACUGUGCUCUGCCUUAUGAAUUUUUACCUUAAGAAUUGAAAUUUUGUAAGAAAUUUGCAUCAGCAUAUGAAGCAUUUUUUGGCAUAUGAACAAACCAAACGAAUGCUGGCUAAGUUGUGCAUACGUCUGGUAGCCAUUUAAAACUUUUUCGUGUCAGUCAAAAGCCAACAGAAUCGAGUUUACGAAUUUUUUUUCACUCAGCGAAAGCUGUUUCGAAAGAGUCAAGUCCCGAUACCAAUGUUGCCUUCAGCAUGUGUUCAAAAUGUACAUGAUUUUUUGUUGACAGAUUGGUGGUGGUCUGUUUUAUUUUUAGCCCAAGCUUGGUGGCACAACUUCCUGUGAAGACCCUUGACAUGGAAUCCUUGGCUUGGAUUCCUGCUUCUCAGUAUGUGGUGUGUUCUAAUUUUGACCUUUAUCUGUUUACCACCUGAACUUUUGUACUUAAGCAUGGAUUACCCCUUGACCUGCCUGCUGGGUGUUUCUGGAACAACAAUGACAUCAGUUACAUCUCUUCUGUAGAAAGACUCCAAAAUGUAUCAACUGAGUCAUGCAGGAAGGAUCAAUUUCAAGAUGGAUGAUUGUCAGACCGAAGACUAAUAAAUGGAUGAGUGAAGAUCAAUAGUUUCUUUAAAAUGAAUUAGGAAGUGUGAUGUAUUGAUUAAUAACAAAGUGUCUUGUGUACUAUUCCAUAUGUAUUACAUAUAACAAAACAUCUAAUUCAUAUUAACAUACACUCUUGGGAUGGAACCACCUUGCUGCCUGAUGGAUGGAUGAGAUGUAUGAGAUAGAUGGUCAUCAAUCAAAAUCAAUCCAGACACAAAUAUAUGUUUUUUUACAUUCUAUUCCCACUGCACACUGUAUUUUACAAAGCUGCAUCAGACACUUUAUGGGACGCUAUAAUUAUACUGCUAUAUAUAUAAUUAUCGCUGACAAAUAAUUUACAGUUUUCAUCCUGUUUAUUGUUGUUUUCUGUCUAUUCUUUUUGCAGCACUUGCCUCCCACUGUUGUGUAUUUGCACCAUAUGUAGUCAUGCGUACUGUUAUGUGUUGCACCAUGGACCUUGAGAAACAACGUUUCUUUCCAAUGUAUACAAGCUAUAUGGGGGAACGGUAAUAAAAACCCACUUGAUGUGACAUGACUUGACUUGUUAAUGGCAGGUGCUGUAUGGCUCCACCAGCAUGAUCAUCACAUGUUCUCAUAUUGGUGUGGGUACUGGGCCUCUUUUGAGAAGUCAUUUAUUUUGUAAGUGGAUACAACAUAUAGAUAAUUUAUCUUAUACAUGGCAACAACAUUGAUGUAGAAGAACAGCAAUUCUGUUCAACUGAGAGGCAUCUAGUCAAAGACCCAGAGACUGACAUUGUUUACUGCCAGGAACCUGUGAUUGUUGAAGUUGAAGCUAAUUCUAUACACACGAUUAGACUUAACACUUUGAUCUUGAGGUCCAGUGUAAUGGUAAAAAUAAUAUGUCUUUGUUUAACUGUUUAGGCUUUAACUGUUCAUUCCUGCUUCAUAAUGUCAGCCUAAAUCAGCAUCUGUUAUCUGUAAUCCUCUGAGAUUUGUGAUAACUCUGAUAUUUUAAUAACAUGCUGUUACCAUUUUUGGUGAUAUAAAGUGUACAUUCCAGUAAGCCUUCCUAAUAUCUGAUGACACAGUUGAUAGAUUUUAAGGAUUACAUGGUAUGAGAUAAAGAGAUAACAUCUAGAAGUGGCAGAUACUGCAAUUUGGCAUAGUGUACAUAUCUGCCAUCUCCUAUAAGGCCAAUACUUAUAUGAUACUUAAAUACUUGUAUGGCAUAUGAGAGUAAUCAUAUGCUUUUGAAAAUAAGUUGAGCUUCUUAAACUGUAGACAGGCUUUGUUCACCCGAUGGCCAAAAUGGCUGUGCACAUACCUUCUUUUGAGUUCUGUACUGCGGUCACUGUGAAGUUCUGCAUUACACGGAAUUUACUCAACAUUGUACCUAAAAAGGUCCACUAUUUCCUCCUUAUCUGCUGGUACAUCCUCUUUUCUUGUUGAUGGGUCAGUUCAUUCUUAAUCUCAUUUAAUAAUCUUUCUAAACAGCACUUAUUAUUCUAACCAAACCCUAAUUGAGGCAUCAUGUUGGUCAACAUGUUGGUUGUCAGUAAAUGUGGAAUGCAACAAAAACU